UCACCACGAAAUCCAAUUUUUCCAUAGUACAUUCGAAUUCUAUCUUUCACGAAUUGUACGAGGAAGAUACUUGUAAUGGGUGAGUAUAUAACUAGCAAAUUCAUAAAGAGCACUUCUUCCGCAUUAUCCAUUGACAGUUUCCACAACUUUGUUUCCUAUUUUAUCUAUUGUCCAUUUGUUUUUAGCGCAGACGACAAAAAGCGACUUAGAAAUAUUAAUUUUACACUUUAGUUUUACUUCAAAGUACAAUAUUUGAGGAUUCAAGAUGGAGAGCCCUGUGAUCUGCCUCAUUUUCCUUUGUGUCAGAGAUGAAGCCCUCUUCUGCAAAGGAGCAGAGCUUAUUAAUUUGCCUCCUGUUAUAACAUCAGAGUUUGAACCGGAGUAUUUUGUACCCAUCUUUUAUUCUACUCCAUUAUCCUUGUUUUGUUCAGCCAAAUACAACGUACUCAGGUAUCAGUGGCAUAAAAAUUAUUCAAAGAUUGUGGAAAAUGAUCGAGUUUCCUAUAAUCCGUCAACUGGUGAAAUCAUCUUCAGAAAUCUAGAAAAAGAGGACUUUGGUGUUUAUUAUUGCACGGCACAAAACAAGUUUGGAAUUUCAGUCUCACUGUUUGUCAAAUUAUCGGAAGCAGAUCUUGACCAAUUUUCUCCAACAUCGAACGUGCAACAAACGUGCAGGGAAUAUCAUCAUUGCAAACUUCCCUGUCUCAAUCAACCACAUUGUGAACCUAAAGCGAAAUGUUUGAUAGAUUGGAAAACUAAAUAUGGAUCCUCAAAAAGUGUCAUAUAUAACGAAUCUGUAACAUUGGAUCGUGAAGGAAAUCUUCAUUUUCUGAAUAUAAGAAAAUCUGCCGGGAACAAGAAUUACACUUGUGGAAUGUGGAAUGAGAGGAUACAUCUAUACAAAAUGGUCAGCAUUACAUAUCUCCAGAUAAAUGAUUCUUCUACAAGCAUCUUGACGGAGGCUGUUUAUCAAAGUGGCGACAGAGUAUUCGUUGGAGAAAAUGCUACUCUUCUUUGUAUUUUUUCUGGAAACCCUGCUCCAAAAAUAGAAUGGCAGAACAAAAACGGAAUCUACAUAACAACAAACGACAAAUACAUCGUGGGUCAGUAUGGACGACGGCUUCAAAUCAUAAACGUAACAUUUGCUGAUGAGGGUUUCUAUGAAUGUAAAACCAACAACAAUCUAAUUCAAAAUCCAUUUCUCAAUGUCACAUCCCCUCCGCUUUUUCCUGAUGUCGGUAAGCGUUUCAUGACAAAAAUAAUGCAGAAUUCGACAACAGUGUCCAUUGUUCUCCAAUGCAACGCAAUGUCCGCAACAGCCGAAAUUGAUCCUAUUGUAAUCAAAUGGAUGAAAAAUGAAGAGAUCUUAAAUGAAGAUGUUAGAUACCAGCUUUCAGGGGACAAAAAGACUCUUCAUAUUUACAACAAGAAUUCAGACAACAGUGGUUGUUACACAUGUGUGAUAGAAAAUAGUGAAGGAAUUGCAGUAGCAAAUUUUUUACUCCCUUACGGUGUGAAGCGCCCUUAUGGUUGCACUGUUUGUAAGUUCAGACCUCGAAUGGCCACAGAAAGAAAAUGGUGACAGGGAAUUUAUUCUACGGAGUUUCAGACGAAAAUAAAAGUGGAUGUGACCGUCCUCCAUCUUUGUACAGGAUGUAAAAUUCCUAGAAACAUGAGGAAAGAGUUGGUGUUGUUAAACUUUACACAUAUUCUAAUACAGAUAGUACGAAACGGAAGUAUCCCUCAAUUCACCGAAAUCUACUUAAAAUUAAACAUGUAUCCCACUUGAAGAAAAUGCAACCGUGGUAAGAAA